GACGAACGCUGGCGGCGUGCCUAAUACAUGCAAGUUGAGCGCUGAAGGUUGGUACUUGUACCAACUGGAUGAGCAGCGAACGGGUGAGUAACGCGUGGGGAAUCUGCCUUUGAGCGGGGGACAACAUUUGGAAACGAAUGCUAAUACCGCAUAAAAACUUUAAACACAAGUUUUAAGUUUGAAAGAUGCAAUUGCAUCACUCAAAGAUGAUCCCGCGUUGUAUUAGCUAGUUGGUGAGGUAAAGGCUCACCAAGACGAUGAUACAUAGCCGACCUGGGAAGGUGAUCGGCCAGAGUGGGAAUGAGCGACGGCCCAAACUACUACGAGAGGGAGCAGAAGGGAAGCUUCGGAGAGUGACGAAAGUGUGACCGAACAAGGCCGCGCGGGUGGAGAAGGGUUUCGGAUCGUAAAACUCUGUUGGUAGAGAAGAACGUUAGUGGGAGUGGAAAGCUCAUCAAGUGACGGUAGCGACCAAGAAAGGGACAGCUAACUACGUG
rnacentral:rRNA from 1 species